ensembl:lncRNA
ACAACAUUUCUGCUAUACUGCAGGAUUGCUGUCCUUUUCCUUUGAGGGAAUCGUGGAAUCGUGGAAGAGGCAAGAAGAGACAAAAUUAUUUGAAGGAAUCUGCAGUUCGUGUGCCCUUACAAUUGUAUUUUACACACACAGUUCUCAGCAGCUUGGUCAGUGAAGUAGAGGACAGUAGAGGAGGAGGAUAGAGAGAAGCAGAGGAGGACAUACCAGAGGGAGAAAGAGAGAGGGAGCUCUGCAGCAGGAUCCCCACCGUGCUGAGCACAGGACUGCGUGACUGGUCUGUGCUGGGUGAGGGGGAGGGGAGGCAUAUCAGUGCAACACAGCCUUACUGGAUGAGAAGCAGCAGUAACACUAGCAGCAUCUCAUUUGUGGCUGCUGGGGGCUCGGUCUCACACACACAGGCGCUCCCAGCGCCACCGUCACACACACGCAGUGGCAGCCACAGCCGUCGUUAGAGCCUGGGCUGGGGCAGGGACGGGGACCGCUACUGUGACGACUGGAGCUACGGCGAUAGCAGCUGCUGCACCAUGGCACAAGCCGCCAAGCAGCUACGCAAGAACAAGGACCUAGCGGAGCUCGCAGCUCAGGAGCUGAAGGAUAAGGAGGAGGAGAAGAACAAGAAGAGGAAUCGAUCGAGGGACCGAAGACGCAAGACCCUUCCUCAAUGAUCCCCCUCUACAUCGGUCUCCGUGCCGGUAUCUAUGUUCUCAUCCUUCUGGUGGAAUCUCUCCUGUGUUUUCUCUGGUGUAGACACGGCAAGUGCCUUUUGCUUAAAAAAUACUCCAUUUUGUAUGUUGUUCCAAAGGCUGUUGUCAGCUACAAUCAGGGCCUGUUAGUUACGCUCUCAUUAUACUUUUGUUUCUGAAGGUGAUGAAUGAGGAAAUAACAGUAGGAGGUGAGAGUGAUCUAUUUAUUUAACUGAACAUUUUCCUAUCAUCUGUUUGGAUGUACUGGAAACUGCUCUUGACUGGCAAAACCCAAAUGAGCUGCAAACAGUGUGUGUAGAGUAUAACUGUACUCUUUACUAUCCACUAUGGUUAUAGUGUAACUGUUCACUGCUUAUGGUGCAUUGUGGUAUGUUUUCGCUCUCUUACAGGAAGAGAACUCAAGUCUGCACUAUGCUAUAAGGAUGUGACCUUGCUGGGGAGUUCAAGUUGGAUAUGGCUGGAGAGUAUGAUGUGUCAAUGUUUUUAUAAACCAGAAGUCAAUAGGAGGAGAAGUUAUUCAAUUUGAACAAUUUGCAAUUUCCAUGCACCUUGUGAAUGUAUUUUUAUACUAUACACAGUGUUUAAUGUGUAAUGUGUUUGUAUAUGUAAAAUAUAGCAAUUUUAUUAGCAUUACAUUUUUUUCUGCUCUAGUAUGUUGUGUUUUUCCAGUGAAAAUAAAGCUUGUACAGUAUAUUGUAAAUAAUUGUUGGAAAUGUUGUUUCUUUUCUCUGGAAGAGAAAUUGUGUUGUUUAGAUUACACAGCUGUUGUGUUUCAACGGUCUGUCUCAUGAUGGUCAUUGAUCUACCUGAGCUUUAGCUGGGUGUUUUGUGUCUGUUUGUCAUGUAGACGUGGCCACAGUGGGGGUACUGCUCAUUGUAAGGUUCUGCUUUACUUUUUUUUAAGUCAACCUUGUGUUCUUUUUCUUUGUGUUCUUGAACGUAGCCCUGUUUCUUUGUGUUCUUGAACGUAGCCCUGUUUCUUUGUGUUCUGGAACGUAGCCCUGUUUCUUUGUGUUCUGGAACGUAGCCCUGUUUCUUUGUGUUCUGGAACGUAGCCCUGU